GAGUCUUGCAGAAAGAAAGAGACUCAGGCCACGGUGGGUGAGGUGGAAGGGCUGGUGAAGAGGUCAGGACACUCCCCAAGUCCCUCCCUAGCUCUGCAAACCUCAGAUGGCCUCUGGACAUGCAGUCCCAGCACCAGGAGAUCCACCUUGGGGAUAGCACAACUGAGUGGAGCACCCACCAAAGACCAGCCUGAGAUGGGGCUCCCCACCAAGACCUCCCACUGUCUCUCCUGAACCCAGGUCAGCUCAACCUGCCUCAGCCAAGCCCCGCAAAAGACCAUGGUUACUUCAAUGCCACCAGAUCCCAAGAAAGCUCCAAAAAGGCCGUGAGGUGAGCUGCUUUUCUCUGCCACAUGCUCUCACUGUGAUGUGCUUCGCCUGCACAGUCUUAAAAGCCAGAGGGCCAAGUGAUCGUGGACUGAGCCUCCAAACCUACUGUUCCAAGGCACGGUGGUUUCACAUGAUCUGUUCAGAGACAUCCUCAUUGUAAAGCAACUGAGUGUUUGCAUGGAGCUAGCAACUGGCUCCUGGGAUGUAACCUCGAGCAUUUUGGAAUUUCCUGAGUGACUGGACUUUCUUUGUUAUCGUGGAAGACCGUGGACCACACUUGGUAGUCUAUGCUAACAAGGUGAUGGUGACCAGUGAAGUGUGAUCUGAACCUCCCAGGAUGCUGAGUAGUGGCAGCGAGCUACAUCUCCCAGUGAACCACCCAAUCACAACGGGAAACAAUGGAGGUUCAACGUGGGCCACGUUGCUAAGCCGGGGUGUUUGGUAGGCUAGGUGUAUUAGAUGCAUCAUCAGCUUCUGCUAAUUUCAAGGUGCAAUGCAUUUGUUGGAUGCGAGCCCACUCUAAGUUGAGGAGCAUUUGUACUUUGUAUUGUCACACAUCAACAUGCUAGGUGUGGGAGGGGAAGGAACACAUCCCUGAUAAUGAGUAAGUUUGCCGUUAGGAACCUUCCAGACCUCACCUUAUGCAUCUC